UUUUGACAAAAUUUUGGGAUUGAAUUUUGGAUUUUGAAUUAAUUUUUCCUCUUUGGAGUUUCAGAUAUUGACUUGUCGUGGAUUCUGUGAAUUGGCUUCAAGUUCGAGAUGUCCAAGUGUGCUCCAGGAAGUUUGCAUCUUGCCGAAUUCGCGUCAUCGACAACGUGGUCCAGUAGUCUUCGUUGGAUUUCGGGAGUAAGAUGUGUAUAAUCGUUUUCCGGAUAACUAGAAUAUUCAAACAAAUACUUGCUUUUGUCAAAGAUUGUGUUAAAAAAAUCAUAAAAAUGCCGUUGCGAUAUUAAGAACCACCUCCUUGAGAUUUUCCUGACCCCUUUCGGAGAUUUUUCAGACCCUUUCCUGAAAUCUUCCUGACACCUAUUUGAGAUUUUCCGGAACCCUUUCCUGAGAAUUUCCUGUGAUCCCUGUCCUCAUUCUUCUUUUCUAUUUACAAUUUCAGGGUCCUCCUAAUUUUUAAUUUUCCUUAU